rnacentral:rRNA from 1 species
CAGAUGUGAAAGACCCGGGGCGUUAACCUCGGAAUUGCAUUUGAAACUGGCAGGCUAGAGUCUUGUAGAGGGGGGUAGGGAAUUUCAGGUGUAGCGGUGAAAUGCGUAGAGAUCUGAAGGAAUACCAGUGGCGAAGGCGGCCCCCUCGGACAAAGACUGACGCUCAGAUGCGAAAGCGUGGGGAGCAAACAGGAUUAGAUACCCUGGUAG